CAGGACAAUCCCCUGGAGGAGGACCCACUUCACUUACCAUGCUUGCCGGGAAUCCCAUGACGGAGGCGUGUGGUGGGUGAUGGUCCAUAUGGUCACGAAGUCAGACAACAGCUGAAGUGACAGCACGCAUGCAUUCCUUUGCAAGAAAUAGCUGUGACAUAGGCCCUUUCAACCACAUGGAGUCUUUCCCGCAACCCAGCCCUCUCUGGACACCUUGAGCUCGCCCUGCCGCCACAUGCCGCUUCCUGCAUUGUCGCCCUCCCUUCCUCACAGCAGGUAAAAGUCACUUUGUACUUUGUGUAUUUCUGAGCAACUGAACGACAACAGACUAUAAAAGGACUCCGUCUCUGGCCCUUUGCCUGAGAGCAGUGGGACCUGUUGAAGUGUUCUGUGCAACAUCAUGGACAAUCGCAUUCCACUUUUUUUGUCUGCCCCACUUUUCAAACAAUGCUUAGAACUUCCCUGCCAGGAACACCCUGGAGCAGAGCUGUGACCCAGGGUGUCAGCUGUUUCAACGGGAAGCACACCAGACCUGGACUCAGACGGCCUGAAUUUCUUUUGAGGCUCACCCUUGCGGUUGCCAGCUGAGUGACACUGAGUCCCUUUCCCUUGUGCCUCAGUCUCUUCACCUGUGAAAUGAAUAAAAUAGAAUGUGCCCAG